rnacentral:rRNA from 1 species
GAUGAACUCUAGCGGCAGGCCUAAUACAUGCAAGUCGAACGAUAUCAUCCAGCUUGCUGGAUGAGAAAGUGGCGCACGGGUGCGUAACGCGUAUGCAACCUACCUUUAUCUGGGGGAUAGCCCGGAGAAAUCCGGAUUAAUACCGCAUAAAAUCACAGGAUGGCAUUAUCCAAUGAUCAAACAUUUAUGGGAUGAAGAUGGGCAUGCGUGUCAUUAGCUAGUUGGCGGGGUAACGGCCCACCAAGGCGACGAUGACUAGGGGAUCUGAGAGGAUGGCCCCCCACACUGGUACUGAGACACGGACCAGACUCCUACGGGAGGCAGCAGUAAGGAAUAUUGGUCAAUGGAGGCAACUCUGAACCAGCCAUGCCGCGUGCAGGAAGACUGCCCUAUGGGUUGUAAACUGCUUUUAUCCGGGAAUAAACCACAUUACGUGUAAUGUGCUGAAUGUACCGGAAGAAUAAGGAUCGGCUAACUCCGUGCCAGCAGCCGCGGUAAUACGGAGGAUCCAAGCGUUAUCCGGAUUUAUUGGGUUUAAAGGGUGCGUAGGCGGCCUGUUAAGUCAGGGGUGAAAGACGGUAGCUCAACUAUCGCAGUGCCCUUGAUACUGAUGGGCUUGAAUGGACUAGAGGUAGGCGGAAUGAGACAAGUAGCGGUGAAAUGCAUAGAUAUGUCUCAGAACACCGAUUGCGAAGGCAGCUUACUAUGGUCUUAUUGACGCUGAGGCACGAAAGCGUGGGGAUCAAACAGGAUUAGAUACCCUGGUAGUCCACGCCCUAAACGAUGAACACUCGCUGUUGGCGAUACACAGUCAGCGGCUAAGCGAAAGCGUUAAGUGUUCCACCUGGGGAGUACGCCCGCAAGGGUGAAACUCAAAGGAAUUGACGGGGGCCCGCACAAGCGGAGGAGCAUGUGGUUUAAUUCGAUGAUACACGAGGAACCUUACCCGGGCUUGAAAGUUAGUGAAUUAUCCAGAGAUGGAUAAGUGAGCAAUCACACGAAACUAGGUGCUGCAUGGCUGUCGUCAGCUCGUGCCGUGAGGUGUUGGGUUAAGUCCCGCAACGAGCGCAACCCCUAUGUUUAGUUGCCAGCAUGUAAUGAUGGGGACUCCAAACAGACUGCCUGUGCAAACAGAGAGGAAGGAGGGGACGACGUCAAGUCAUCAUGGCCCUUACGUCCGGGGCUACACACGUGCUACAAUGGAUGGUACAGAGGGCAGCUACAUAGCAAUAUGAUGCGAAUCUCACAAAGCCAUUCACAGUUCGGAUUGGGGUCUGCAACUCGACCCCAUGAAGUUGGAUUCGCUAGUAAUCGCGUAUCAGCAAUGACGCGGUGAAUACGUUCCCGGGCCU